rnacentral:tRNA from 1 species
GGGUGAUUAGCUCAGCUGGGAGAGCACCUCCCUUACAAGGAGGGGGUCGGCGGUUCGAUCCCGUCAUCACCUU